GCUGCUAAUCAAACGGGUCACUCCAUAUUCUUCCCCCCUUUCGAAGAUAUAUUCCCUCUCAACUGGCUCAACCCCACACAUCUUCCUUUUCCUUCCUUCUUAUAAGGAGCUACUCUCCUACCAUCUUCCUUCAAGCUGUUCAAUUACAUUCUUUCUCUUUAGCCUUUUCGAGAGAUUCGUUUUUCGCUAAAUGGCGUCGAAUUCUCUGACUUCUUCAUCCUGGACGCCGAAGCAGAACAAGAUGUUCGAGAAGGCAUUGGCUCUAUACGACAAGGACACUCCCGACAGGUGGCAGAAGAUCGCCAAGGCCGUGGGAGGGAAAUCCGCAGAGGAAGUGAAGAGACACUACGAGAUUCUAAUCGAGGACCUCAAGCACAUCGAGUCCGGCAGAGUCCCUUUUCCUAAUUACAGGUCGAGCAACAAUAGCGGCUAAAGGUAAUAUACUCAGAUGUAUGGACUACGGCUUCUCUUCAAGUUUCGUUUAGUGGUUGCUGGCAUUAGAUUAUGGCUCGGAGGCCAUCUCCAUGCUGCGGCAUUGAUGGCUUCACACCUAUCCCCAUGUUCUGUCAAUGUUCUUCUCUAUAGAAAUAUAUACUGAUUUGCUCCAUCUGAGUGGGUACAACUAAGAAUAGUUAGUCGGUGUGCACAUCUUUUGUGUGGAACUAUAUCAUUUGACCAACUGUGACUACAUGGUUGUGCACAGACGAAUGUCAUAUAGUACUCGCCAAAGCCGAGUCUAAUCGGCACUUGCCAAAACCAAGCCAAAUCAACUCGGUCAACUUGCCCAAACCCAAGUCCAAUCGACUUGUUAACCGACUCUUUGAGAAACUGUUGAAUGUCACUGAACUUCACAGAAAAAAAUAAAGAUUCACACUUUUUGUCUGGUUUUCAAGAUUUAUCAGUAAAUUGUCAUAGCUAAGAACCUUUUCCACAAUGACAAGGUGAGAAUACUAUUCUUGUGGGGACCAUAAGCUGAACCGGUAGAGAAGAAACUUGGGAAUCUGAAGUCCCCCAAGUUUCAAUCUUGACUGGUCCUCCCUCAGAAUAUCACAUGUAAAAGGCAAUGCAUGAACCAGUGUAUGACCACAUUGCAGAUGCAACUCUUCUUAUCUUGUCUCUC